AGCGAACGCUGGCGGCAUGCCUAACACAUGCAAGUCGCACGGGGGGGCUUCGGCCUCCCAGUGGCGGACGGGUGAGGGACGCGUAGGGACCUGUCGAGGGGUGGGGGAUAACCGCGGGAAACUGCGGCUAAUACCGCAUGACGCCGCGGCGUGACAGCCGGGGCCAAAGGCGAAAGCCGCCCGCCGAGGGGCCUGCGUCCGAUUAGCUGGUUGGCGGGGUAGCGGCCCACCAAGGCGUCGAUCGGUAGCUGGUCUGAGAGGGUGAUCAGCCACACCGGGACUGAGACACGGCCCGGACUCCUACGGGAGGCAGCAGUGGGGAAUAUUGGACAAUGGGCGCAAGCCUGAUCCAGCAAUGCCGCGUGGGUGAAGAAGGUCUUCGGAUUGUAAAGCCCUUUCGGCGGGGACGAUGGUGACGGUACCCGCAGAAGAAGCCCCGGCUAACUUCGUG
rnacentral:rRNA from 1 species